rnacentral:rRNA from 1 species
GUUAUAGGGACAAGUGAAUAAGUGCACAUGGUGGAUGCCUUGGCGAUUACAGGCGAUGAAGGACGUAGUAGUCUGCGAUAAGCUACGGGGAGCUGACAAACGAGCUUUGAUCCGUAGAUUUCCGAAUGGGGAAACCCACCCUUUUAGGGUAUCACUCACUGAAUACAUAGGUGUGUGAGGCGAACGCGGCGAACUGAAACAUCUAAGUAGCUGCAGGAAAAUAAAUCAACCGAGAUUCCCAAAGUAGUGGCGAGCGAAAUGGGAUGAGCCUGUACGUGAUAGUCGGACUGAUAGUGGAAGCCUCUGGAAAUAGGCGCCAUAGUGGGUGAUAGCCCCGUACACGAAAUCAGACCGGUGGUACUAAGCGUACGACAAGUAGGGCGGGACACGAGAAAUCCUGUCUGAAUAUGGGGGGACCAUCCUCCAAGGCUAAAUACUCGUAAUCGACCGAUAGUGAACCAGUACCGUGAGGGAAAGGCGAAAAGAACCCCGGGAGGGGAGUGAAAUAGAUCCUGAAACCGUGUGCAUACAAACAGUCGGAGCGGACUUGUUCCGUGACGGCGUACCUUUUGUAUAAUGGGUCAGCGACUUACAUUCAGUAGCGAGGUUAACCAUAUAGGGGAGCCGCAGAGAAAUCGAGUCCGAACAGGGCGCUAGUUGCUGGGUGUAGACCCGAAACCAAGUGAUCUACCCAUGGCCAGGUUGAAGGUGCGGUAACACGCACUGGAGGACCGAACCCACUAAUGUUGAAAAAUUAGGGGAUGAGCUGUGGGUAGGGGUGAAAGGCUAAACAAACUUGGAAAUAGCUGGUUCUCUCCGAAAACUAUUUAGGUAGUGCCUCAAGUAUCACCAUCGGGGGUAGAGCACUGUUAUGGCUAGGGGGUCAUCGCGACUUACCAAACCAUUGCAAACUCCGAAUACCGAUGAGUGCGAGCUUGGGAGACAGACGUCGGGUGCUAACGUCCGGCGUCAAGAGGGAAACAACCCAGACCGCCAGCUAAGGUCCCAAAGAUUGGCUAAGUGGAAAACGAAGUGGGAAGGCUAAAACAGUCAGGAUGUUGGCUUAGAAGCAGCCAUCAUUUAAAGAAAGCGUAAUAGCUCACUGAUCGAGUCGUCCUGCGCGGAAGAUGUAACGGGGCUAAGCCAGUCACCGAAGCUGCGGAUAU